rnacentral:rRNA from 1 species
GAUGAACGCUGGCGGCGUGCCUAAUACAUGCAAGUCGAGCGAACGGACGAGAAGCUUGCUUUUCUGAUGUUAGCGGCGGACGGGUGAGUAACACGUGGAUAACCUACCUAUAAGACUGGGAUAACUUCGGGAAACCGGAGCUAAUACCGGACAAUAUUUUGAACCGCAUGGUUCAAAAGUGAAAGACGGUCUUGCUGUCACUUAUAGAUGGAUCCGCGCUGCAUUAGCUAGUUGGUAAGGUAACGGCUUACCAAGGCAACGAUGCAUAGCCGACCUGAGAGGGUGAUCGGCCACACUGGAACUGAGACACGGUCCAGACUCCUACGGGAGGCAGCAGUAGGGAAUCUUCCGCAAUGGGCGAAAGCCUGACGGAGCAACGCCGCGUGAGUGAUGAAGGUCUUCGGAUCGUAAAACUCUGUUAUUAGGGAAUAACAUAUGUGUAAGUAACUGUGCACAUCUUGACGGUACCUAAUCAGAAAGCCACGGCUAACUACGUG